GGCCCAUCAUCAGGUCAUCACAAGCCUCACGGCAUCACGCAAACACCAAUACUAGCAAGUGGCAAUACACGUCCUACCGAACCCUAGCAAAGUAGCAAGCCAGCCAUGCGCCCAAGCGCCGCCUGCCGACUGCCGUCCGCCUGUCCUGCCGAACAGCUGAAGUGCCGAGUCACCGCCUGGGGCCUGGGCGCCUGGCGGACACCGUGUGCCACCGCGCCGCCGUCGCCUGCCGUCCUGCGAAGGAAACCAAAAACCGACACUAUAUGAGCUGGAAAUACAAGAGGCACAUCCCACUGCUAGCACUUCUGUAUUGAUCAUGUUCAUCUGGAACGAAAUAAUACUCGGUGACUUCACAGCGACUGCAUGUGCCAUCGGCCAAACUAGGUGGUCAUCGUGUUCGGUUUUUCGGUUAAACCGAAAACCGAACUGAAAUAUUUGGUUAACUGAAGAUUCGGUUUUCGAUUUUCCACA